CUACCAUUUGGUACAAGCGGAAAGCAAUCAGCAGUUGGACAGGAGAAGAAUGGCAUUGAAGCAGAUUUCCAGCAACAAGUGCUUUGGGGGAUUGCAGAAAGUUUUUGAACAUGACAGUGUUGAACUGAACUGCAAAAUGAAAUUUGCUGUCUACUUACCAUCAAAGGCAGAAACAGGAAAGUGCCCUGCACUGUAUUGGCUCUCAGGACAGUUUCCUUAGUGAGAUGCUGAAGAACAGAUAGACCUUGGAAAUUAAGGCUUGAUUUUCUGAGUAAAGGUUUAACUUGCACAGAACAAAAUUUUAUAUCAAAAUCUGGUUAUCAUCAGUCUGCUUCAGAACAUGGUCUUGUUGUCAUUGCUCCAGAUACCAGCCCUCGUGGCUGCAAUAUUAAAGGAGAAGAUGAGAGCUGGGACUUUGGCACUGGUGCUGGAUUUUAUGUUGAUGCCACUGAAGAUCCUUGGAAAACCAACUACAGAAUGUACUCUUAUGUCACAGAGGAGCUUCCCCAACUCAUAAAUGCCAAUUUUCCAGUGGAUCCCCAAAGGAUGUCUAUUUUUGGCCACUCCAUGGGAGGUCAUGGAGCUCUGAUCUGUGCUUUGAAAAAUCCUGGAAAAUACAAAUCUGUGUCAGCAUUUGCUCCAAUUUGCAACCCUGUACUCUGUCCCUGGGGCAAAAAAGCCUUUAGUGGAUAUUUGGGAAC
rnacentral:sRNA from 1 species